CCUACGGUGUGCAGCAGUGAGGAAUAUUGGUCACUGGGCGAGAGCCUGAACCAGCCAAGUCGCGUGAGGGAGUACUGCCCUAUGGGUUGUAAACCUCUUUUGUCGGGGAGCAAAAGCCGGACGUGUCCGGCUGUGAGAGUACCCGAAGACAAAGCAUCGGCUAACUCCGUGCCAGCAGCCGCGGUAAUACGGAGGAUGCGAGCGUUAUCCGGAUUUAUUGGGUUUAAAGGGUGCGCAGGCGGAUUUUUAAGUCAGCGGUCAAAUCGUGGGGCUCAACCCCAUCCAGCCGUUGAAACUGGGGAUCUAGAGUGUGCGAGAGGUAUGCGGAAUGCGUGGUGUAGCGGGGAAAUGCAUAGAUAUCACGCAGAACCCCGAUUGCGAAGGCGGGUUCCUGGACAUUAACUGACGCUGAGGCACGAAGGCCAGGGGAGCGAAAGGGAUUAGAUACCCUUGUAGUC
rnacentral:rRNA from 1 species